UACGGAGGGUGCGAGCGUUAAUCGGAAUUACUGGGCGUAAAGCGUGCGUAGGCGGUUCGUUAAGUCAGAUGUGAAAGCCCUGGGCUCCACCUGGGAACUGCAUUUGAAACUGGCGGACUAGAGUUUAGGAGGGGGGGGGGGAAUUUCAGGUGUAGCGGUGAAAUGCGUAGAUAUCUGAAGGAACACCAGUGGCGAAGGCGACUCCCUGGACUAGAACUGACGCUGAGGUACGAAAGCGUGGGUAGCAAACAGGAUUAGAUACCCUGGUAGUCCACGCCGUAAACGAUGUCGACUAGCCGUUGGCCCUAUUUACAGGGUUAGUGGCGCAGCUAACGCAUUAAGUCGACCGCCUGGGGAGUACGGCCGCAAGGUUA
rnacentral:rRNA from 1 species